GACAGAGGGUGCAAACGUUGUUCGGAUUUACUGGGCGUAAAGCGUGUGUAGGCGGCUUUGCAAGUCGGAUGUGAAAUCCCACGGCUCAACCGUGGAAGUGCAUCCGAAACGGCAUCGCUUGAGUCUCGGAGAGGAAGGUGGAAUGCUUGGUGUAGAGGUGAAAUUCGUAGAUAUCAAGCAGAACACCUGCGGCGAAGGCGGCCUUCUGGACGAUGACUGACGCUGAGACACGAAAGCGUGGGGAGCGAACAGG
rnacentral:rRNA from 1 species